rnacentral:lncRNA from 1 species
ACAAUUCUCUGCGAGCGAGUUUCACAAAGCCGUGAUGCUUCCAGGAAAAAUAAAAGGAGUGGGACCAUGGAGAUGGCUCAGCAGUCAACAUGCCUGCUACAUAAGUAUGAAGACCGGAGUUUGGCUACUUAGAUGCUUGUAAAUGCAGAGUGGCCAGCUUGUCAUCUAAGCUUGGAAGAUGAAGACAGGGAAAUCCCUAGAGCAAAUGGGCUGGGAAGGCUAGCUCUGAGUUUGACAGAGAGAUCCUGCCUCAAUGAAUAAGGUAGAAGAGUCAUCAAAGAGGAUUCUCAACAUCAAAGUUGGUCCUCCACAGGGACAAUGUACAUGCCAGCCUGAAUGAACACACACAUCCAUACACAUGCGAGUAUGUAUACAGAUGAGAACACUACACACACAGCCACAAGAAAACAAGUUCAAUAAAGGACUUUAGCAGCCACUGUAAAUAAA